AUGACAUUGCUGAGCUGGAACCGCCGAGGAAUCGGGCAACCCCGGGCAGUUCAGGAGUUGGUAUGUCUCGUGCAUACAUACCGGCCCAAGAUCGUCUUCCUCACUGAGACUAGGCAAUGCAAGAAUAACGUGAAGGCAAUAAAAUGGAAACUAGGCCUUAGGCAUUGCUUAACGCAUGAUGGUAAGGGCAAGGGUGCUAGAAUGCAUUGUAUUGGGAUAAUUUAA
rnacentral:rRNA from 1 species